UACGUAGGGACCAAGCGUUGUUCGGAUUUACUGGGCGUAAAGGGCGCGUAGGCGGCGUGGUAAGUCAGCUGUGAAAUCUCCGAGCUUAACUCGGAACGGUCAGCUGAUACUGCUGUGCUAGAGUGCAGAAGGGGCAAUCGGAAUUCUUGGUGUAGCGGUGAAAUGCGUAGAUAUCAGGAGGAACACCCAUGGCGAAGGCAGCAAACUGGUCAUCAACUGACGCUGAGGCGCGAAAGCGUGGGUAGCAAACAGG
rnacentral:rRNA from 1 species